UACGUAGGGUGCGAGCGUUGUCCGGAAUUACUGGGCGUAAAGAGUUCGUAGGCGGUUUGUCGCGUCGUUCGUGAAAACUUGGGGCUUAACUCCAAGCGUGCGGGCGAUACGGGCAGACUUGAGUACUACAGGGGAGACUGGAAUUCCUGGUGUAGCGGUGGAAUGCGCAGAUAUCAGGAGGAACACCGGUGGCGAAGGCGGUUCUCUGGGCCUUACCUGACGCUGAGGAGCGAAAGCGUGGGGAGCGAACAGG
rnacentral:rRNA from 1 species